CAGAUCGUGUUGGAAGGGAUAAUCGGGGACAUUUUAGGUUACAUAUUAAUAGCUAACAUACAUAUAAGAUCCGGAUCGUGUUCAAUAGAUUGUGAUUUUGAUGACGAUUUUUGUAACUGGAUGCAAUUUGAUGGAGAUGACUUCAACUGGGAUAGAGGAAAUGGAAGUGCGUCUAAUAGCUACACUGGACCCUACGUUGAUAAAUCAGGAAACGGUCACUAUAUCUACAUAGACACAAGCAGUAGAAAGAGAAAUGAUACAGCAAUAUUAUUAAGCCCCCUUCAGAACGCUGGGAAAUAUUGUCUCUCGUUUUGGUAUUUCAUGUAUGGCUAUAACAUUGAUAGACUUCGCCUACAAAUAUGGAAUACGAACGGCUCAGAGCGGGGUACAAUGUAUACACUUGAAUCAGCCCAGGGCCAACAGUGGUUUCAAAAAAUAAUUUUUGUACAUUCAGUGGAUGUAUUUCAGAUAUCUUUCGAGGGCAGAGUAAAAGACGCCCGGAAUAGGUUUUGGGGGACAUAGCAAUUGAUGACGUCACAAUGGUUUCCUGUCAAGAUUGUGCGGAUCUCAAAAUAGCCAAUGCCGUCACUAAUUCAUCAAACUAUGAGUACGGUUCAGUGAUAAAGAUACAAUGUAAUAAUGGAUACAAUCUUGUGGGAGAUUCAGAGAUCGUUUGUAAGACGAUGGGAAAUUGGAGUGGAACUGCAUCAUGUAUACCAUAUGGUAUGUAAACGUUCCAAAUGUUUUGAAGGAAAUGCAAUAUAUCUGUAUUUAUGCUUUGUAUGUCCCACAAGCUCUAAGUCACUAAUUGCAUUUUCAUAUUGUGAUCAAAGCGAUGAAUGCGGCUAACAUUUUUCAGCAUUUUUACUGACCGGAGAGAUAACUCAGACGCAUAGAUAACC